rnacentral:misc_RNA from 1 species
AAAAUAUAUACAUAUAUAUAUAAAAACAAAAAAUAAUUUUACACAUAAUCAAGAACUGUGUCUUCUGGCCAAGAACCCAAUAAUCAUUAUAUUUUAUUUAUCGUUUUCAUUCGGUUUCUCAGCAUCCAAACAGAAAAUCCACAUCACAAAUCAAAAUCAAUAAAGGGAGAACGAAUUUCAAUCGAAUGAUUGAUUUAUAAUUAUAAUAUAAAUAU